UACGUAGGGGGCAAGCGUUGUCCGGAUUUAUUGGGCGUAAAGAGCGUGUAGGCGGUCAGGUAGGUCGGUUGUGAAAACUGGAGGCUCAACCUUCAGAGGUCGACCGAAACCCCCUGGCUAGAGUCCGGGAGGGGAGAGUGGAAUUCCUGGUGUAGCGGUGAAAUGCGCAGAUAUCAGGAAGAACACCCGUGGCGAAAGCGGCUCUCUGGAACGGUACUGACGCUGAGACGCGAAAGCGUGGGGAGCAAACAGG
rnacentral:rRNA from 1 species